UUUCCAUAUCGGUGCAAAAGUAAUUGCGGUUUUUGCCAAUUACUUUUAAUGGCAAAACUGAAAUUCGUUUUGCACCAACCGAAUACAAGCUAAAUA
rnacentral:miRNA from 1 species